rnacentral:lncRNA from 1 species
AUGCCGUGGGAGACACCAUGUCACUCUCCCAGAAAGCAGGGACUGUGUGCUGUCAACCUCGGCAUUUCUCUGUGUACUCAGGUCCUGGCACACAGUAGGGCCUCAACAAAUGCGCAACGACUGGCUGACACGAUGCCCAGUGUGAGGCGUACAGAAGAGGAAACAUCAUCUUGUCCUGGAGCAGCUCUCAGCAGAGGGCAAAGGCUCCACCACCGCCAGACUAGAAAGGCCGCGAGAGCCCACCACUCCCUCAAACGUGCCCGUAUGGUAUCGAUGUAUCAAAGCAGUGCCACCAGAAGCAGCAGGAAAAAGCCAGCAAACACCGUCAGGGAACGCGGUAAUUUUCAGGAGCGGACUCCAAGCAGAGAACUCUUAAGUUACCAGAGAAAGAAUUUAAAGUAG